UACGUAGGUGGCAAGCGUUAUCCGGAUUUACUGGGUGUAAAGGGCGUGUAGGCGGGGACGCAAGUCAGAUGUGAAAACCACGGGCUCAACCUGUGGCCUGCAUUUGAAACUGUGUUUCUUGAGUACUGGAGAGGCAGACGGAAUUCCUAGUGUAGCGGUGAAAUGCGUAGAUAUUAGGAGGAACACCAGUGGCGAAGGCGGUCUGCUGGACAGCAACUGACGGUGAGGCGCGAAAGCGUGGGGAGCAAACAGG
rnacentral:rRNA from 1 species